CCACAUCACAAACACCAUAACAGAGCUCAAUAUAUAAACAGGUGAAGCCAAUCCCGUGGGUUCUCCACCUCGAGGUGCUACAAGAUUGGAAUACAUGGCUAGAAUCUGCUUCGACGCAGACCAAUUUUUAGCCACGAUCAUUGACAAAGACCGGAAGUUGCCCACGGCUCGUUCCUUAUUAGCCCCUGCAGUAUUCCCUCUUCUCCCAAAAGACCACGUUCUCUCGGCACCCUUACAAUGAUUCUCUUUAUCAUCAAUUGUCAUCGCAGUUAGCAUGGAACUCAAAGCUUUUCUCGCUCGCUUCACUUGACCAUCACCUAUCGGGUUCUGCUUCAAAGCAGAGACCGCAAUUUCAGCUAAUCUUUUACACUGACGCACGGAAUCAAUCCCACUAGACACUGCAUUACAGAUAUCGAGAGCUUUAACAGCUCGUUCCAUGAGCUCAGGAAUCAAUCGAUCCAACGGUGGCUUGCAGAUUUGUGAAGGGUCGCGACCCAUGAUAAGAACAGUGUUGAACUCAGCCUCGCAGCACAAGAACACAUCCACAAGUUUCCUCAACCAGGAAAUAGACAUCAGAGGUUCACUGGAGAUGAGCUCCUCCGACGGAGACAAUAAACCAGCGAACCAAUCAGCCACGUGCUUCUGAAAAAGCUCAAGGUCCUCGAGUUCCUGCUCAUGGUUGCCGUCCAUGGAGAUCACCUGGUUCCGGCGGAUGCUGAUUCGCCUAAGAAACGAUGACUGGUACUCCGUUGCAGGCAUUUUGAUUUUGAACUCAAUAAUAAGAAGUCAGAAACUGAGAGAAAGAAAGGAAGAAGAAAGAUAAAAUAGAGAGAGAGGAGACAAAGAAAAAAAAACAAACACAGAG
rnacentral:misc_RNA from 1 species